GAUGUACUCCCUCCGUUCCAAAUUACUUGUCUUGGAUUUGUCUAGAUACGGAGAUAUCUAGCACUAAAAUGAGUCUAGAUACAUCCGUAUCUAGACAAAUCCAAGACAAGUAAUUCGGAACAGAGGGAGUAGUAU
rnacentral:pre_miRNA from 1 species